AGCAGAACCAUUGGUGGUAUUUAUAGC
rnacentral:piRNA from 1 species